rfam:Gorilla gorilla gorilla genomic chromosome, chr16, whole genome shotgun sequence
GCCAGGUGUGGUGGCGUGCACCUGUGGUCCCAGCUGUUCAGGAGGCUGAGGCAGGAGGAUUGCUUGAACCCAGGAGGUUGAGGGUGCAGUGAGCUAUGAUCACACCACUGCACUCCAGUCUGGGUGACAGAGCAAGACCCUGUCUCAA